rnacentral:rRNA from 1 species
UUGCACCAUAUUCGAUCUAGUGGCGAAUGGGUGAGUAACACGUGAGUAACCUGCCCUCUAGACUGGGAUAACUACUGGAAACGGUUUGUAAUACCGGAUGUCUUCUUUGUACCGCAUGGUACUUAGAGAAAAGCUUAGAUGCACUAAAGGAUGAUCUCGCGGCGUAUUAGUUAGUUGGUGAGAUAGUGGCUCACCAAGACAAUGAUACGUAGCCGGCCUGAGAGGGUGACCGGCCACACUGGGACUGAGACACGGCCCAGACUCC